rnacentral:rRNA from 1 species
CCUCCAGGUCGUAAACCGAAAAUUGCCCGCGGCAUAUUCGACCUCCCUUAGUUCGUCAGUACCAAAGCUGAGGCGGAAAGGCUUAUGUGAUGUACAUCAGGUUUAUAUUCCUGUUCUACUGAUAACCGUUUGAAAGAUGGGAUGACACAGUAGGUUAAGCUAAGCACACUGUUGGUUAUGUUUGCCCAAGCAUUGAGGCAGUCAAAGUAGGCAAAUCCGCUUUUAUAAUGCUGGGAUGUGAUGGGGAGCGAAAUUUAGUAGCGAAGUAGCUGAUUUCACACUGUCAAGAAAAGGCUCUAACGAGGUUAAAGGUACCCGUACCGCAAACCGUCACAUGUGAGUGAGGAGGAUAUCCUAACACCAGCGCAAGAACGAUCGUUAAGUCACACGGCAAAAUGACCCCAUCACUUAAGGAAAAGGGAUGCCACAAUCAGGUG